GACGAACGCUGGCGGCGUGCUUAACACAUGCAAGCCGAGCGAGAAACCUUCGGGUUUCUAGCGGCGGACGGGUGAGUAACACGUGGGUAACCUGCCUCAAAGAGGGGGAUAGCCUUCCGAAAGGAAGAUUAAUACCGCAUAAUAUUACAGUUUCGCAUGAAGCAGUAAUUAAAGGAGUAAUCCGUUUUGAGAUGGACCCGCGGCGCAUUAGCUAGUUGGAGAGGUAACGGCUCACCAAGGCAACGAUGCGUAGCCGACCUGAGAGGGUGAUCGGCCACAUUGGAACUGAGACACGGUCCAGACUCCUACGGGAGGCAGCAGUGGGGAAUAUUGCACAAUGGGCGAAAGCCUGAUGCAGCAACGCCGCGUGAGUGAUGAAGGUCUUCGGAUUGUAAAGCUCUGUCUUUUGGGACGAUAAUGACGGUACCAAAGGAGGAAGCCACGGCUAACUACGUGCCAGCAGCCGCGGUAA
rnacentral:rRNA from 1 species